GAUGAACGCUAGCGGCAGGCUUAAUACAUGCAAGUCGUGGGGCAGCAUGGUGUAGCAAUACACUGAUGGCGACCGGCAAACGGGUGCGGAACACGUACGCAACCUACCCAAAACUGGGGAAUAGCCCGGGAAACCCGGAUUAAUACCUCGUAACAUAAUUGAAUGGCAUCAUUUGAUUAUUAUAGCUCCGGCGGUUUUGGAUGGGCGUGCGCCUGAUUAGGUAGUUGGCGGGGUAACGGCCACCAAGCCUGCGAUCAGUAACUGGUGUGAGAGCACGACCAGUCACACGGGCACUGAGGACACGGGCCCGACUCCUACGGGAGGCAGCAGUAAGGAAUAUUGGUCAAUGGACGCAAGUCUGAACCAGCCAUGCCGCGUGAAGGA
rnacentral:rRNA from 1 species